GGACUAAAAAAAAACCCAGCUAUUUAAAAAAAAAAAAAAAAAGUUUUGAUUUUCUGAUGACAAACUGAAAACUGUUGUAUUAUUAAAUGUUCCAGGUCUACUCUGUUUUUAAUUAAAAACUAUACCGAGUCCGGAUUUUUGAAAAUUCCAGAUAUUCAGUUGACUUUAUAUGCUAUAUACAUGGUAAAGGCAAAGCAAGUAUUUUAGCAUCAGGCUGUUAUUUGAAAAAAAAAAAAAAAAAAAUCCAAAUUCUGCACUUCUAAUAUUUGCUAAAUGGAAUAGAAGACAUGGAAUCUCUUGGACCAGCUCAGAAUAAACAGCCCAUUAUAGUGUGUAUUACAAGUUCAUUCUAUAUUAAAGCAGUAAAUCACUUAAUAGCAUGCCCAAAUCAUGCCAUGAAGGCAUUUGACAUUCUAUUUAAAACUAAUUUUGUAUUUAGCGUUCAAUAUGCACAUACAUCAACAAAUUUUUAUAAUUUUGUGGCAAGCCUUUUGUAUAAUGUCAGCACUCCUAGAGCUUGUGUGGACUCUUUAAAUA